rfam:Camelus ferus unplaced genomic scaffold scaffold1792, whole genome shotgun sequence.
GAGGGUAUAGCUCAAGUGGUAGAGCCCAUGCUUAGCAUGCAUGAGGUUCUGGAUUCAAUCCUCAGUACCUCCU